GAUGAACGCUAGCGGCAGGCCUAAUACAUGCAAGUCGAGGGGUAGAGAAGAGCUUGCUUUUCUUGAGACCGGCGCACGGGUGCGUAACGCGUAUGCAACCUACCUUUAUCAGGGGGAUAGCCUCUCGAAAGAGAGAUUAACACCGCAUAAAAACACAGUACGGCAUCGUACAAUGUUCAAAUAUUUAUAGGAUAAAGAUGGGCAUGCGUGACAUUAGCUAGUUGGUGAGGUAAGGGCUCACAAAGGCGACGAUGUCUAGGGGAUCUGAGAGGAUGACCCACCCCACUGGUCAUGAAACACGGACCAGACUCCGACGGAAGGCAGCAGUAAGGAAUAUUGGUCAAUGGGGGCAACCCUGAACCAGCCAUGCCGCGUGCAGGAAGACGGCCCUACGGGUUGUAAACUGCUUUUAUACGGGAAUAAACCCCUUUACGUGUAAAGGGUUGAAUGUACUGUAAGAAUAAGGAUCGGCUAACUCCGUGCCAGCCGCCGCCGUAAUAC
rnacentral:rRNA from 1 species